AGUGAACGCUGGCGGUAGGCCUAACACAUGCAAGUCGAACGGCAGCACAGUAAGAGCUUGCUCUUACGGGUGGCGAGUGGCGGACGGGUGAGGAAUACAUCGGAAUCUACUUUUUCGUGGGGGAUAACGUAGGGAAACUUACGCUAAUACCGCAUACGACCUACGGGUGAAAGCAGGGGAUCUUCGGACCUUGCGCGAUUGAAUGAGCCGAUGUCGGAUUAGCUAGUUGGCGGGGUAAAGGCCCACCAAGGCGACGAUCCGUAGGCGGUCUGAGAGGAUGAUCAGCCACACGGGAACGGAGACACGGGCCAGACUGCGACGGGAGGCAGGAGUGGGGAAUAUUGGACAAGGGGCGGAGGGCUGAUCCACCCAUACCGCGUGGGUGAAGAAGGCCGUCGGGUUGUAAAGCCCUUUUGUUGGGAAAGAAAAACAGCAGGUUAAUACCCCGAUUUUCUGACGGUAACCAAAAAAAAAGCACCGGCUAACUUCG
rnacentral:rRNA from 1 species